CAAUAGCGUAUAUUAAAGUUGUUGCGGUAAAAAAGCUCGUAGUUGGAUUUCUACCGAAGAUAGCCGGUCGGGUCUUCGACCUUGUAUCUGGUUUUGUCUUUGGUAUCCUCAUAGGGAACGUUUCUGCGCUUUAUUGCGUGGUGCGGUAUCUAUGACUUUUACUUUGAGGAAAUUAGAGUGUUCACGGCAGGCAAACGCCUUGAAUAUAUUAGCAUGGAAUAAUAACAUAGGAUCUUCGUCCUAUUUUGUUGGUUUCUAGGGCUAAGAUAAUGAUUAAUAGGGAUAAUUGGGGGCAUCUGUACCAACGCGUCAGAGGUGGAAUUCUUGGAUUGCGUUGCGACAAACUACUGCGAAAGCAUUUGCCAAGGAUGUUUUCAUUGA
rnacentral:rRNA from 1 species